ensembl:lncRNA
GACCCCGGCCCCGGCCCGCCGCCGCUCGGCGCCGCCCCGGAGCUCGGCGGCCACCGCGACAAGUCAGAAGGAGAAAGCUCCCGCAGCAUCAGGUACGUGUGCCGUCGGCCUCUGUCUGUGCGUCUGUCUGUCUGUCCUGGGCAGGCGGCAUCAGUGAAACCACGUGCUUCCCUUCCCUUUGACACGGGUUGGGGGGUCAAAGCCCUGCCCAGUGCCCAGGCACCUUGGCCGCACUGUGCUGGCUCAGCGUCCUGGAGUGAGAG